GGUUUUAACCCAGUUUAACCAAG
rnacentral:misc_RNA from 1 species